UGGAUUUAUGCAUUCUGGGAAGUUUUGGAGUUUUGGAAGAGAGGAGCUGCUGGGUCAGCUACGUUGAUGUCAAGGAAUGGGAGUCGAAUGGUCAGUGAUGGUGAAAUGCCACUACGACGAAAUGAUCUCUACUUUGGGGAAAGAAGAAUGGUAAGGGUCUGGGUUUUUGGAUCUAUCUUGUCAUGUGAUGUUCAUACUUGGUGGAAUUCUGGUUUUUUGGAUUAUUUGUUAUGAUAUCGAUAUGUGUUGGGAAUUUAACAUGGUAGUGGACAAGAAUGAAAUUGGUUGUAUGUAUAGACAGAGUUGGUUUUGUCAAAUAAGAAGAUGGAUCUGUUAUCAAUA